ACCCACCCAGGCGGGAGCCGUGCAAGAUGCGCUCUGGCUGUUUGGGCUUGAGACGUCACACUCGCUAUUUGAGCCUUCCAGUUGACAAUGAGCUCAAGCCACUUACAGCCAGAAGACGUUAGGCAUUUACUCCAUCUUCAAGUCCCGAAGGAGGAGCGCAAGGUGGAAGACAAGUGGUGGCAAGGGUGAGCAGGACCAGGCCAGGGUAGGGCCACGGCUCUCCUCACGCCCUCACGCUUGUCUUUCUUACAGAAGACUCUGACAUCAGGGACAUGUCCAGCAGUGCCCCAAGAACUGUGGAGCACCCCCAACCUGAGGUGUCUAUUCUGGCUUUUGCAAACCCGAAUGUCCACAUGGAAAGAAACCAUAGAAGUAGAGAGAAGCCACACGCUGCUCUCCUCAGGUCCAGGGCUGAGAGCCGUGUAGGCCCUCUGGUCCUGGAACACAGGCAGUCAAGAAGGCGUCUGUCCUGCUGCCCCGUGAUGGGAAUGAUGAGCAGAGCUCCACGUCCUAUGGAUUUCGGGCCAACCAGUGCUAUCAAACCACGGUUUUUAAAGCAGCAACAAACUAGAACUAGUCAGAAAAAGUCUCCAUUCCUGAUGACUCGGGCACUCUAGAGGUGACCUCGGUCUGUUUAACAAGCUUUCCAGGUGAGGUGAUGAAGGGGCAGUCCUCCAGCCUCAGUUCCAGGGCUUCAUGUGACUGUGCAGCUUGCAGAGCCUGGAAUUUGAUUUUUUUUUUUUUUUUUAUGCUGCGUUCUUGUUUAACAAGACCAGGAAAAAGCAAAAAGGGACCAUUACCAACUGAUCUAUUGGGUGCUUGCUGCAUGCCCUGGGGCAUGACCUUGUUAGUGCCGACACUGCCCUAUAGGAAGCUGCUCUUGUCUCUAUUUUAAAGCCAGAAAACAGAAUCAAGCAUGUCAAAUAAUCUGUUGAAAGUCACACAACCAGCAAGUGGCAGAACUAGCUACAAACUCAGGCUUGGGUUGGCGCUAGAACCCAAGUCCCUGACUUAACACGGCACUGCUCAUGACUAAAAGAAGACUCCACCUUUCUUUGUAUGACAUACUGAAAAAAACAGAAUCAUGUGAAAUAUAUAUUGAUGGAAAUGUG